AUUGAACGCUGGCGGCAGGCCUAACACAUGCAAGUCGAGCGGAUGAAGGGAGCUUGCUCCUGGAUUCAGCGGCGGACGGGUGAGUAAUGCCUAGGAAUCUGCCUGGUAGUGGGGGAUAACGUCCGGAAACGGGCGCUAAUACCGCAUACGUCCUGAGGGAGAAAGUGGGGGAUCUUCGGACCUCACGCUAUCAGAUGAGCCUAGGUCGGAUUAGCUAGUUGGUGGGGUAAAGGCCUACUAAGGCGACGAUCCGUAACUGGUCUGAGAGGAUGAUCAGUCACACUGGAACGUGGACACGGUCCAGACUCCUACGGGAGGCAGCAGUGGGGAAUAUUGGACAGUGGGCGAAAGCCUGAUCCAGCCAUGCCGCGUGUGUGAAGAAGGUCUUCGGAUUGUAAAGCACUUUAAGUUGGGAGGAAGGGCAGUAAGUUAAUACCUUGCUGUUUUGACGUUACCAACAGAAUAAGCACCGGCUAACUUCGUG
rnacentral:rRNA from 1 species